rnacentral:rRNA from 1 species
AACGAACGCUGGCGGCAGGCUUAACACAUGCAAGUCGAGCGAAGACUUCGGUCUUAGCGGCGGACGGGUGAGUAACACGUGGGUAACCUGCCCAUCAGAAGGGGAUAACACUUGGAAACAGGUGCUAAUACCGUAUAACAAUCAAAACCGCAUGGUUUUGAUUUGAAAGGCGCUUUCGGGUGUCGCUGAUGGAUGGACCCGCGGUGCAUUAGCUAGUUGGUGAGGUAACGGCUCACCAAGGCCACGAUGCAUAGCCGACCUGAGAGGGUGAUCGGCCACAUUGGGACUGAGACACGGCCCAAACUCCUACGGGAGGCAGCAGUAGGGAAUCUUCGGCAAUGGACGAAAGUCUGACCGAGCAACGCCGCGUGAGUGAAGAAGGUUUUCGGAUCGUAAAACUCUGUUGUUAGAGAAGAACAAGGAUGAGAGUAACUGUUCAUCCCUUGACGGUAUCUAACCAGAAAGCCACGGCUAACUACGUGCCAGCCGCCGCAGUAACAC